rnacentral:rRNA from 1 species
GACGAACGCUGGCGGCGUGCUUAACACAUGCAAGUCGAACGGAAAGGCCCUGCUUUUGUGGGGUGCCCGAGUGGCGAACGGGUGAGUAACACGUGAGUAACCUGCCCUUGACUUUGGGAUAACUUCAGGAAACUGGGGCUAAUACCGGAUAGGAGCUCCUGCUGCAUGGUGGGGGUUGGAAAGUUUCGGCGUGUGGGGAUGGACUCGCGGCUUACCAGCUUGUUGGUGGGGUAGGGGCUUACCAAGGCUUUGGCGGGUAGCCGGCCUGAGAGGGUGGCCGGCCACAUUGGGACUGAGAUACGGCCCAGACUCCUACGGGAGGCAGCAGUGGGGAAUAUUACACAGUGGGCGGAAGCCUGAUGCAGCAACGCCGCGUGCGGGAUGACGGCCUUCGGGUUGUAAACCGCUUUCGCCUGUGACGAAGCGUGAGUGACGGUAAUGGGUAAAGAAGCACCGGCUAACUACGUG